UGGCGGACGGGUGAGUAACGCGUGGGUAACCUGCCUUACACAGGGGGAUAACACCUGGAAACAGGUGCUAAUACCGCAUAAGCCAACAGGGGCGCAUGCUCUGGUUGGAAAAGAUUUAUCGGUGUGAGAUGGACCCGCGUCUGAUUAGCCAGUUGGCAGGGUAACGGCCUACCAAAGCGACGAUCAGUAGCCGGCCUGAGAGGGUGAACGGCCACAUUGGGACUGAGACACGGCCCAAACUCCUACGGAAGGCAGCAG
rnacentral:rRNA from 1 species